UCAUGUGGGAUGAAGAGAAAGUGAACAAUGAACUAGAAAAGUAUAUGAGCAGUGCUUUUCAACACAUCAAGGCCAUGUGCAAGUCUUUAGAUUGCGACCUUAGGAUGGGGGCAUUCACCUUAGGAGUUAAUAGGGUUGCCCGCGCCACCCUCUUGAGAGGCUGGGAGGCUUGAGAUCAUUAAGCAUACAGAUUGAUCAGAUUUGACAUUCAAUAAUUCAUGUCCAACAAUAUUGGAUGACCAGU
rnacentral:lncRNA from 1 species